GAUGAAUGAAACGAACAGAAGAGUCUAUUUGGCUCAUAACUAGAGGUAAGUCUUCAUGAAAUUCUAUUUCAUCAAAAUAAUCAUCGGCGGUUCACAGUACAAAUUGAAUUAUGCUAAAUUGAACCCAGUCCGAGUACAAAAGUGUCCUCAGUUGAUGAAUCACCACCAGGCAUGCAUUCCCCCCAUAUGGACAUCAUCGCAUCGCUUGAAACCGAUACUGUGAUUAUUAUUAUGAUUGAGAUCAUCGUUGUUCCACUUCGCUGGAAUUUUAUUCAGUCAGCCAAACCCAUCCCCGCACAAUAGCGAAACGAGUAGCCAACCGAACGAAUUAGCUUAUAAUCAAAUUUGUUUAAUAUAGAGACGCUUCAAUAACAACAGCUGGUAUCGAAUCGAUUGAUGAUUGCCAAUACCUAGGUUGAGUUCUGCUUCGAGUCGAGUCGCUUCAGCAGACGCGAGAGCCGAUGGGAAAUGAUUGAAUACCCCAUAGGAUAGGGGGUUCUCAACCUGUUUCAGGCCCCACCCGACGAGCACGAUGCAUGCGUUUCAAUAUUCAACGCUUCUCCAGUUCUCCGGGAGGAGCAGCUCACAACAACGUCUGAUCCACGUUGUACCAGCAGACCCGCCUCUUUCGGGAGAAAAAGCGCCGCCUGGAAGAAGUGGAGUGCGAAGAAAUGGAACUGUUGUGCCGCUCCCACUAAUCACGGAAGUUCUACCAGAAGCUCAACGCAUCCCGCAACGGCUGUGUGCCGCGAGCCGAAAUGUGCAAGGGUAAGGACGUAGGCCUCUUGACGGACGGACGUGAGGUGAUCGAAAGAUGGAAAGCAGCACCUGAAUGGCGUGGAGAACGUAGGUACGGAAGACCACGGCAUCGGAGGAAACGACGACACUAGUGCAGCGGAGGACGGAACCCGAGUAGAAGUAAAAAUCAGAACAAUAUCAUCAUUUGAUAUUCCUCAGUGAAGUACUCAAGAUCAUAAUUAGCUAUUGGUUUGUUUGACAUAAGAGAUAAAAGAUCAAAAAUAAGAUCAAAAAUUAGUAUGGGGAAGAACAUAAUAAUAUCUCAUUUUGAUGUUAUAAGAUCAGACCAAUAUCUGGGGAGAUCUGGGCCGUAGCACAUCUAACCAAUAUCAUAAAAUGAUCUGACAGAUGGAUUAAAGUAAAAAAAAAGAAAAAUGGCCGCGACCAGAAUCGAACUUAUGACCUUGGGAUUUAUGAGCAGUGACACUACCACUGCACUACGACUCAUAUCUGAAAAUAGGAGGUAACAAGAGCAUCAAGUUCUACGUUUUCCAAGGUGUUUGCGAGUCAUGGUAGUUGUGUUGGUUUGGUCCCGCCAUGUUGUAGAUGAGUGUGUGAAAGAACUAAUUAUGAUCUUGAAUAGUAGUUUUCAGAUCUUACAAAUUUCGGAUGUUAUAGAUGAAUGUGUCAAAGAGCUGAUUUUGAUCUUGAGCAGUAAUUUUCAGAUCUUUCGAUUUCUGGAUGUUGCAGAUGGAAGUGUGAAGAGCUAAUUUUGAUCUUGAGUAGUAUUUUUCAGAUUUCUCAAUGAUAAAUGUUCUAUUGCAGAAUAUUAAUACAGUUUCCACCCAAAAUUUGCAAACUGACGUGAUGGUAUGGAAAAUAAAAAUGAAUAAGGGCACAAUUAGGAAUUGCAGAUUUUCCUAAACUAAGAGAGCGUUUUUCUCUAGAUGAUUUCACAUUUAAUGCUCUUUCUCUGAAUUGUUAAAAAAAAACUAGUGAUCCAAACUUUAUAAACGACAUGCGUAGAAACAUGUUUGGUUUAUUUUGCGCCUAAAACAGGACGAAUUUUCACCAAUAGCACGCAAUCAGUGAAGUACUAGAUUGUAGUAAUGAGCUGAAUUUUUGUAUGGUGAGAAGGUAAAUUCUCAAUCUCUGCAACGAAAUGACGCAAAAAGCCUGGCUAUUAUGAUUCCUUGCCUAACCUAAUGGUGUAUGAGCAAAACUUUAGGUAACUGUGUUAUUCUUUUCUCCAUUUCUUGCAACAAAGUUUUUCAAAGUUUUAUUCUAACAGUACCAAAUAAGGCAAGGAAUCAUAAUACCGACGCCUCCUGCAUAAUUUCGUUACAGAAACGGAGAAUUUACCUUCUAGCCAUAAAAAUCAGCUAAAAAUCUAGUAUGUACUUCACUGAACGUGCUCUAUUGUGAACUGUCGCCCAGAAAAGCGUUGGAAACAUUAGAAGAUCGUCGUCGUCACGACUGUCGUCUGUUCGUAUACCCGAGGCAGAAUCGCUACGCAAUUCGUUGGUUGAAACUCAAAAAGCUUGUCGUCUGCAGCGGUAUGUUUUGUUGAAUCUAGAAUCAAACGGUCCGUUUUUCGAAAUGGACGUAUUUUGCUUAGCGGGCCGAUAAAGUUCUCAAAUGGUCCGGUGAUUAAUUUAAUGGAUUCGUACCACAAAUGCAAGCUCGACAUCGAGAUCAGACUCAAUUGGAAAACCUCUGCUGGUUUACUCACAAUGAAACAAAAUAAUUAUAAACUGGGAUUCAGAAAUCUAUCAGAUAAAAUCAGUACAUAGGGGAAAUUACCUAUUCUCGGCCGUUUUGUUCUCUUCGUCUUUGCAGGUUUUUUGGAACCUAUUGAACUCAGAUUUGGUCUCAAAUCCUUCCCAACCAAGCUGAAGUAUAUGGCCAAGUUUCAGGCAAUUUGGCUGAUAAAAACCCCCCAUGACGAAGAGAACAAACCUGCCGAUAAUACCCAUUGUCACCCUAUAUAUUUUUAGGCUUUUUUUUUUUUUUAAAGAAAAGCAAAUAUCGAUUAUAUGCAUUUUUUGUGUCGAUUACUCUGUUUUUUGUUCAAUUGCCGCAUCCAUAAACCCGCUUAUUGAAAAUGAACGCCACUUCUACUCCCUUUUUGUCCCAGUGGUCGUUUGCGAAAUUUGUGGUGUACAUAAGGGAACAUCUAUUUAUUAUGUAACGCUAAAUUCGAUAUUUUUGAACUCGGUGGUUGGUUCAUUAGGAUCUGGCGGAAUCCAUAAUGUGCUUUUGUAUGAUAACUCCAACUUGUUGUAUGGGUCGUAACGCUAGGCUGUAUUCCCUAUUCCCCUGGAGCGUUACGUUAUUUGGGGACGGCGCAUAAUGAAAAAUGAAAACUUAAAAUAGUUUUCAUGCGCAAUGUUGGGAAAUUUCGACAUUUAUACAGCGGGUUGCACUAGGCUUUCCAAAGAUCAAAUUAAGUACUAAUUUUGAAAUCAUAUCACGAUGAGAUAUUGAGCAGAUAUUUGGCAACUUUUUGAAUAUCUCAUCAAUAUCAUAUUAAGAUAUGACAUCAAAAUUUGAUCGUUUUGAGAUAUGAUUAUGAUAUUCACGUCUACCCGGAAAGUGAACCAACUCCCACGGUGAGGGACGUUAAGGAUGCCAUUCAUCUGCUCAAAACUAACAAAGCAGCUGGCAAGGAUGGUAUCCCAGCUGAACUCAUCAAGAUGGGCCCAGAAAAGUUGGUCACCUGUCUGCACCGGCUGAUAGUCAGGAUCUGGUAAACUGAACAGCCACCGGAGGAGUGAAAGGAAGGGGUAAUCUGCCCAAUUCACAAGAAUGGGGAAUGUGAGAACUUCAGAGCGAUCACUAUUUUGAAUGCUGCCUACAAAGUGCUAUCCCAGAUCAUCUUCCGUCGUUUGUCACCUAAAACGAAUGAGUUCGUGGGAAGUUAUCAAGCUGGCUUCAUCGACGACCGGUCGACAACAGAUCUUCACUGUACGGUAAAUCUUCCAGAAUGCCGUGAAUACCAGGUCCCAACGCAUCACCUGUUCAUCGACUUUACAGCGGCAUACGACAGUAUCGACCACGCAGAGCUAUGGAAAAUCAUGGACGAAAACGGCUUUCCUGGGAAGCUGACUAGACUGAUUAAAGCAACGAUGGACGGUGUGAAAAACUGCGUAAGGGUUUCGGGUGAACUAUCCAGUUCAUUCGAAUUUCGCCGGGGUCUGCGACAAGGUGAUGGACAUUCUUGCCUUCUAUUCAACAUCGCCCUGGAAGGUGUUAUGCGACCAGGCCAGGCUGAACAGCCGGGUUACGUUCUUCACGAAAUCCGGCCAAUUUGUCUGUUUUGCGGAUGACAUAGAUUAUUGCUCGAACAUUUGGAACGGUGUCAGAACCCGCCUGAUACAUGAAGCAGCAAAGGUCGGACUGGUGGAGAAUGGGGCUAAGACAAAGUACAUUCUGGUAGGUGGGACUGAGCGAGACAGGACAAGCCUUGAGCAGCAAUGUAACGAUAUACGGGGAUACUUUCGAGGUGGUAGAAGAAUUGAUCCACAUUGGUUCCUUGCUAACAGCAGACAAUAACGUGAGCCGUGAAACACGAAGGCGCAUUAUCAAUGGUAGUCGUGCCUACUACGGGCUCCAGAAGAAACUGCGGUCAAAAAAGUUCACCCCGCACCAAAUGUACCAUGUACAAGACAUUAAUAACACCGGUGGUCCUCUACGGACACUUGACAUGGACCUUGCUUGAGGAAGACCUUCAAGCACUCGGAGUUUUCGAGCGACGCGAGCUAAGGACGAUCUUCGGUGGCGAGCAAGAAAACGGUGUGUGGAGGCGAAGGAUGAACCACGAGCUCUACGGUGAACCCGACAUUCUUAAAGUGGCUAAAGCUGGACGGAUACAGUGGGCAGGGCAUGUUGAAAGAAUGCCGGUCAACAACCCUGCAAAGUUGGUGUUAGCUAACCAUCCGGUUGGUACAAGAAGGCAUGGAGCGUAGAGAGCACGACGGGCAGACCAAGGGGAGGGUGAUAUAGCGAGCGUUGGGCGUCGUGACCGAAGUUUGAUAGCUACUGCUGCAAAUCGAGUAUUAUGGCGGCAAAUUGUUGAUUCAGUGUUAUCAAGAACUUGAUGUUGAACUAAAUAAAUGAAUGAACUCGAAGUUCUUGAUUCCUUGUGUAAGCAUAGCUGAUUCGGCGAUGCUGGAGUAGUAGUUACUGUCUAGCUCAAGCUAGAAACAUAAUUUAAAAUCUAAAUCAUAAGGACUGAAGGUGGGCCGAGCUUCAUUGUUUGAGAAACGCUGCAAUAGAAGAACCACACACCCACGCGGACUGAGACCAUCCACCACUUGCCACCCACGUCGCGACGUCGAUGGAUCGAUACAUACCGGCGGAAUUGGUUUAACGAUAUGCGGCAGACAGACGGCUGCUGGAAGCUGGACGUUAGUUGUGGUCUAAACAAUAACUCACAACCAGCAACGCCGCGCCGCUCUUCAUGGGAGCAGGUCAUGCAUAUAUUUAUAAGUGCCGAUGGUUGAAAGUGGAGAACCAGGUCAACGGCUGCUGCAGCAGUAGGUAGCAUCAAACAUAGCUCAGGAGAGCCCACCUAGAGCAUUGUUCGUCGAUCAAUAUGCUGUUGUUUGGCUGAAUGCUGCAUGAUGAACUCGCCGUCUUCAUUUGCUGACAUGCAGUUUUUAUUGUCACUCACUUACUGCAUUUGAAUCAUGGCGCACAAUUGAUUGACUCACAACAUUCGUCGUGGAUUUUGCUACGACAGGUACACUUUGGCGAUAUGGGUACGCCGCGGCAGUGGUGUCACAUAUCGGCGAAAAUUACUCGCGAAAAUUGAAGAUAGGCGAUUAGGCGAUUCGCCGAUUCAAUGACACACACCGUCCGUAACAUCGAAAACGUUCCAAUUAUAUUUGCACAGAAGACCAUGUGUGUGUGUGGCACACUGAACUGAGUUGUUCAAUAAUUGGUUGGCAUGCACAACAUCUUUAUCUGUGCCAUGUCCAUCGGGGCAUGUGAAGGCAAUUUGUAUUACACAAGGGUUGUUUUUUUUUUGUUUAUUGCCUUGAUUGUAGCAAUAACUGAGCUGAGCGAAACAUUACUACAACAAUUAUCUUUCAUCACUAUUUUCCUCCUGCUCUUGCAGACAUGAUUGUAGUCGUAUAGUGACUACGACUGCCAAACUAUACAGUAUACACAUUAGAACUAGUAGUUUUUGAUUAUGCAGAAUUAAUGUUUUUUCGACCGCUAGGCUCCAGAAGAAACAGCGGUCAAAACAUGAGAUUUACCUCUGCAUUAAGUUUACCACAUACAAAACGCUUAUAAGACCGGUGGUCCUCUAGUCCGAGACAUGGACCGUUUUUGAGGGGGUUUAAGCAGACGAACGUUUUGUGGCGGCGAAGGAUGAACUACAAGCUCGUUGCACUCUACGGCGAACCCAGCCAAAGCCGGAAGGAUACGGUUGGCAGGACAUGUUGCAAGAAUACCAGUCAACAAACAUGGAAAAUUAUUGUUCGUCACAGAUCUGGUUGGUACAAGAAGGCGUUUCCCUUCUUAAGUCUCAAAUUUGAGGCUAAAUAAGGGCAGGAUGGGGUCUCCAGUUAGCCUAGUGGUUAAGGCUAUGGAUCGCCAAUCCGGAGACUGCGGGUUCGAUUCCCGUUCCGGUCGGGAAAACUUUCUCGACUCCCUCGGCAUAGUGUAUCAUUGUAGUUGCCUCACAAUAUACAAAUUCAUGCAAUGGCAGGCAUAGAAAGCCCUUCAAUUAAUAACUGUGGAAGUACUCAAAGAACACUAAGUUGAAGCGAGGUAGGCCAAGUCCCAGUGGGGACGUUGAGCCAUAAAGAAGAGAAAGAAGAAGAAGGGCGGCAUUAUCCAAAUGUUGUAAAUUAGCUUACAUUAGUACCUAUAUGGGUUCGCUUAAUGCGUUUUCGCCAUUGGCGUUUUUUUAAUUGACACCGAUUUGGUUUGUCGUUGAUGUUUCCUUUUUGUGCUGUGAUUGUGAAGAGUGUAAUCCUGUCUAGUUUGGAUAGCGACUAUGGCUAGGGAACGUUCAAAAAUUACGUCCAACAUUUGGGGGAGGGGGGGGGUCUAGAAAAGUGUGACAGUACGUGUAUUGCGUAUAGGGAAAUUGCGUGACAGAGGGGGGAGGGGGGGUCUAGAAAUCCCGAAAAACGAUGGACGUAAUUUUUGAAUCUUCCCCUAGAAAACCUCAGAUCAAUUUUCAGCGUAAAAGCGUGCGUAGCCCAAGUGACUCUACUUCAAAAAGUUAAUUUUCGUAGGGUAACUUCUGUAUAGGUUACCUUGCGAACCCAGUUUUGCUUCUUUCAUUAUAAAUGAAGUGUCGUGCCUCUAGCUUGCUAUAUCUACGAAUAACGUUAACAGUAUGUUUCAAUUUUUCCUUAUGGAUGCCUUCAAGCAAGGUCUUGUAUUCAGCAUCUUUUCGCUGAUAUUUUGCAGUAUUGCUACGGCCAUUACAUCAUCUGAAGUAGCUCAAACAUUAAUUUGAGAUGCUGCAGUUUGAUGGAUUACUUAGCUAGUACACUGCCCAUAACUGCAUAUUUGUAACAUUUGCAUAUUUUGCUGAUAUUGAGGUAAUAUCGGGAAUCACUAUCAAAUCAAAAGUACUUUUGACUACCUGAAUAAAAAUUUCAGGUUUGUUUUAGGAUUUGUGAAAAAAAUACCAUAGUCAUUUUGUCUCAUUGACCAAUGUAACCGCAUAACAGUCACACUGGAAAAAUAUACUGACUUUAAGGUGAAAAUAUAACGAAGCCACGAAGCCACAAUUUUCAAAAGCAUAAAUCUGAAGAACCGAGGGUUGGUUUGCGCUGAAAAGUUGAUCGAUAGGUCACCACCAUCGGGUCACCAAUCGAUCAACUUUUCAGCGCAAUCCAUGUAGUGGUACCUCAGAUUUGUGCUCUUGAAAAUUUGAGGUGAGGCUUCGUUAUAUCCCUUUCGUGACGAACCAACACAAUUGUGCUGUUGAGCGGUAACAGUUUGGCAUAUUUUUUCAUCUGUUUAGACUUUGUUUUAUAUGAUGUAAAUUGUUCCACUAAUUCAGCCAUUACUUAUACUCGUAUGUGUGAAAUAAACUUUUGCUUACGUUGCCUGUAAAAUUUACCACAACAAGGUAAACAAAAAGUGGGCAAAAACGGUAAAACAUGAAAAAGUUUUAUCUGUCGCAUAUUAUUUAUUUCCGAUUUAUCUACGUAGUCAACACUAGAAAUCAAAAGAUAAAGAGUAGUUCUUUCAAAUGAGGAAAAAUAAUAAUUACUUUUUUGGUAAAUCUAAGAGUUCUGGAGAGCCAAAGUUGAGCAAUUUGUAUGGAGAUUUCACUUUUUUGCGCUCCGUCACGAAAGGGAUAUAUUCACCUUAAAGCGUGUCAUCAAUCAUAAUCAGGUCCGAUUUAUUUUCUGACAAUUCGUCUAGCAUAUAAGAUGUGCUGUAGAAAAUUUUAUUGCUAAACGAUUGAAUACGAAUUUAUAAGAAAUUUUUAAAAUUUAGGUUCAUUUCCAUACUAUUGAAAGUUGAAUCUUUGGGCUCAAUUUUCUCCAAUGCCUACUUUUGUCGAAUGUUACUCUUAUGCGAUUAUGGGCAGUACAGUUCAUGGAUAACUUAACAUAGGAUUGCACCUAAUCCAACUCUGUAUGAGUAGAAUUUGUCAUGAAUUGACUGAUUGGCAUGUGUCAGAGUCUCCAUUUGACCAUCUUUGCACUUUUGAGUGUUCUUUCGCAUACUUUGUCUAUUCAGGCGUCCCUGCUCAAAAAUGGGAGAACCUGUACUAAUUGAUUGCGACCACAUUUUAUGGAUAACUCGUUUCCAUUGCUACUCCAAGUCCCAUUAGACGUGACAAAUAUUUGGCCAAACAAGCCCAACAAAUGACCAACACAACGUGAGUCAUAGCAACCUUGGAUGAAUGUUGGAUAUCAAUGACAAAUAUUUGGCAUAAUGACAAACAGUCCAAUGGCUCCUUAAGAGAGUUCCAUUGUGGUUUUGUUAUUACAAUGCCCUCCAUUGUGGUAUACCAUAACUAUUGCUUUGAAAGAAGCUUGUCCUCUGCGGUCUGUGCGGAUCACAAGAGGUAUUCCUGAGAAGAACUCUGAUCUGUUAGUUCAAAAUAUCUUCGGAUAACCCAUUCUGUUGUAUAGUUACGAAUCUCUAGCUUCCGUCCGAGAAUUAUAGCUAUAUAAUCGACUUCGUGGGCCCUAAAAAGCUCUGCUUACUUCAAAUCUCCAGGAGCAAAUGGGGGUUUGUCCUAUUUUUCUUCAAAGGGAUUUGAGUAUUUCAAACAUGUUCUAGGGUACUGGGUACUAGGGUACUGGUUCCCUUAUUAAGCAUGUGGCUCCCAUUUUCAUCCUACGAAAAACAAAGGAAUGAGGCGUUGUUUGUUUUGUUUCUAAUUUUUGUAUUUUUUGUUAGGAGUGAGCACGCAUGAAAACAAAAAGAACGGAAUCAAUCGGUGCCGUAAUUGCUUGUUUUCGAAUAGGAUGAAUAUGGGAGCGUGAGAUUACUGAUGGAACACAUACCCUAUUUUAGUUUUCUCUUGGGUAUUUUCACGGCGUGAAAUUACUUGAUAGUUUUAUCCCGAAAGGGUGCGUGCGGUGUUAGAAAGAAGGAAUGAGUUCCUGGUUACCUCGUUCUUUCUGAAAUGCUUGAAACGCAUUGUCGAUUAUCACAUCUGUGAUGUUCGUCUGGCUGACAUGACUAUUCAUGUGAACUCACAUGCCUUCCAAUGUGGGAUGUUCACAGUGACUCUUUUACACAAAGUUGCAUAGGUUUUCAAGAAAAUACUCGCUCAAAUGUAGUUUUUGCUUGGGUGAUUUCUUGAAUAUUCAGGAUGCUUUGGAUGAUGUGCCGUUCAAUGUCGUAUUGAAAGCUACCUUCAAUGAGCUAAAGGCUCUCUUUACGCUUAUGCGUUUUACAGUUUCCUUUUCAGGGCACUGAUUUAACCCGUUGUGGUAUGGGCUAUGAGCUCUCGUUGCGCUUAUGCAUUCAUUUCUCGCGUUUAGUAUCAUACGGGCGUAUCUACAAUGAUCGAUUUCUCUUCAUCGAUUUUCUCUUUGGAUUAUUCCGGGAAAUACGACCAAUAUUUGGGUGAUCUCCCGGUUUGUUUCGGUGAAGGACGACUAGGACUAGUAUCUAAAGGAACAAAAAAUACCGAAAAUGAUUUACCAGCCAAGAUAUUAACCAAAGAGAAAAUCGAUGAAGAGAAAUCGAUCAUUGUAGAUACGCCCGUAACUCGAGAUUUCCUCUUCUAGGGCACCCCUUCCUAUUUCAUCACCUUUCCCUUUCCUAAUCCCAUUCCAUCCCUUGUCCCAUUCUCCCUCAGGUAAAUGAUGAAAUAGGCUUAUAUGUAUGGUGAUGGCACAAAUGUCCCAAAUGGAGGAUAACGUGCCUCUGGAGCCGGCCUUCUGAUACCUGAUUACCACACACAAAACGCGGUGGUCCUCUAGUCCGCAGACAUGGACCGUUUUUGAGGGGGUUAAGCAGACGAACGUUUUGUGGCGGCGAAGGAUGAACUACAAGCUCGUUGCACUCUACGGCGUAACGCGAAUUAUGCUGCUUUUUUCUUAUGUCACCGAAAAGAGCCAACCCACAUAAAUUAGUAAAAUUCCACGGUGAUCAAUCCCGAUCAGAACCCAGCCAAAGCCGGAAGGAUACGGUUGGCAGGGCAUGUUGCAAGAAUACCAGUCAACAAACAUGGAAAAUUAUUGUUCGUCACGGAACUGGUUGGUACAAGAAGGCGACCAGCGCAGUGGGCAAGAUGAGUGGACCAGGUAGAAAAAGUGUGAUCUGGUGAGCGGACGUUAUGGAGGAUGAAAAGCGGCAUCUGCCGAGUAUUGUUGACUAUGUAUUAUCAUAAAUUUGGAGUUUUUUUCGCAAAUAAAUGUUGAUGUAAUCCAUACUUUACAUGUUACAUAUAAAGAUGUAAGCGAAAACUAACAGUACGACGAAAGAGACUGAACUCACGACCUUCUGCAUUACUAAUCUGAAGCGAUAGCCAUUAAACCCCGUAUAAAGUACGAGUAAAAAACCCUGAAGUGUGACGUUGACUUACAUCUGCUAGGUUACUUAAUGUUCCAAAAAUAACUUCACUUACGUAAACCAGUACCAAAACAAACAAGGAAAUUAAAAUGGUCAACGUACUUCAAUAGCAAGUUUUUUUUUAUCAGGAGAAAGGAAGGUGAUUGCCUCUCGCCGAUCGAUAACGUAACACACAACAUCGUUAACCGACGACAAUCAACAGCCGUUUUGUGCGACACUCACCCAGACAAAUCGCACCCAAUUUAUAUUCUCCACCUCGCACUUCCAUGCGCGUCUCGUAGCCCAGUCAGCCAGCAGUCAACAGCUGAGACGUGAGCCAAUAGAAAGAAAAAAAAAACACCUGCCACGCUCAAACACCCGCACGAUUCGGAAAAAAUAUCAUAACAAUGCAAGCAUCCACCAGCACACAUAGGUACAACCGCUAAUGGGAUGAUUUAAUAGCUCGCACAACUUCUCAACCAGAAGGGGCUCUGAGCUCUGAGAUUUGUUGGAAGAUAAAACCAUCACUAAGUGGCGACUGUCGGUUAGCGGGUUAGCCAAAAACGCACCGAACCGGCCUUUUAAAUCCAUCGUCAAUGGAACCAGUUGUUGAAUAAUAGUUACUUCAAUCACAGCAAAACCGGUGCGCGGAACGUGUACACCGGUGACCUGUGGUAAUGGCCACGCACGAACAAUGAAUCCUACUGUUGUUGGAUGCCGUUGGAAAGCAUACCACCCUUGAAACCGCCCCAAAACCCUUAGCGCACGAAUUUGGCCAUUCUUGAUUUUUUGAAUGGAGGCGCCAUGCUGGGCUGUCAUGCGUGUGGUUCACAUACAGUGACGGACAAAAAAAUAAGACCAUUCGGCAAGUACUUUGGUUUAUUUGAAAUAUCCCAAAAGAAUGUACUUGUUCGUACUAUUACAACGGAGUCAUUGGUUAUAGUUGGUAACAGUUUAUCGUGAGAAUAAUAACUGUACAGCUACAGAUGGCAAGGAAUGAAUUCCAGAACAGUUUGGACGACUCUGGAAUAAGUAUUCCAGUACGUCCGCUAAUCGUAGUUGAUCAUGCAACGUUAUUUUGCAAAGCGAGUAUGACUGUAGACCUGAAGUUUUCUUCUUCGGAGUAGUUUGAUUGACCUGGAAAAUCCCAAAAGAGUUUUGUAAUGAUUCAUACAAUUCCAAGGAGGUCAUGAGUAAUGUGAUGCUGUAGUUCAUAUCGAACAUCACUAAUGUAAUGACUGUAAAUGAGCUUGAGCUUGAUUGACCGCCCGCAGUUGCUACUCCAGUAUUGCCAGAUCAGCUACACUCACACAAGGAACCAAUGAGAUAGCUGCUUGGGACUAACAGGCAUCUUCAGUGUGUGAGCGUAGGUGAUCUUGUAAUUUUAGGCGACAAUGGCGCCUACUGUGUCAGAUUGCAGGUCAAUAGGGAAGGGGAGGGAAGUGAUGAUUGCAAUCGCUUGCCCACAUCAGGCCGUUGAAUCCUCUGCGCCUGCACAAGGUCAUGCGGAUGUUGGUGUGGUGUUGGGAAAUGUUUAUUUUUUGGCACAUGGAUCAUGCAUUGGUGCAAGGAUGCAAGGCGUAAAGCGAUAGAUUGUGUGAAGAUUACUGUGAAGCGGCACAGUCCGCUUGGUUGCAUAACUUGUAGGCGUUAUAUGAUAGAUUGGCACUGUGCUGUGAUGAAAGUUGGAAGGGAGGGAAACGGCUUUUUUUUCAAUCCGUUUCUGGUUCUAGGGAUCGCCACGAACAUACGAAUAUACAUGAGAUGUAUAUGUAGGAGAGAGAGAGAGAGUGAGAGAGAAAGUAGAUAGAAAGAUACAAAGUAGGAGGAAAGGGACGAGCCUGGGAUUGAACCCAGGACCUUCUGCAUAUGAAUCAGAAGCGGUAGCCACUAGACCACCAAGCUCGUCUACUAAUGUAAUGACUGUAAAUAUCCCAAAAGUAUUGAAAAAUUUGUGCCUGUCUCCAAGUAAGUCUAGUAGUUUUGGUAGGUUAUGAUGAUACGUUAUUCUGUAUAGCGGAUCCCAAGUAACAAUGCCAUUGCUGAUUCGUUUUGUUUGAUUUUUAUUAGGGUUUUAUUAUAGCAAUAAACUAAACUCACAGUUUUAUGACUACUCUUAUGAAAACGAUUGAUGAAAUGUUUUAUAGUAUACUUGAAGUUAUCCAUAAAGCCAGAUUUCAAUAGUAAACAAAACUCUCCUAUACGUAAUCCUUUAGAUAUUCAUUAUUACCACCAUAAAACUGUGCAAACUCUCAACAGAUAGCGAUCCGUUCGAUUAGUAACGACAUCUGUUGGUUGAAAGCAGAAACUAGGUUAAUUACGGUCAUAAAAAAAAACAUGCUUUCGUUUCAUUUUUGCUAAUUAUGAUCGUCGCCAUAUUGAAGACUGAGGUAACGUGAAUGGAAAAUAGUUAACAAACCUAGCAAAAUAAUAACCACUAAAAUAUUACUUUGAAAUGAUUGCUGUCUACUUGCGAAUGAUGUCUCCUCCUGAACUUUACGUGCCAUUGAAGAAGCUUCUCUGCAUCUUGAACUGUCAUAGUUUUUGUUGAAAAAAAAACAACGAUCAUCAUUACCUCUUUUCGAUUAUGGAAGAUUUUUCAAAUAGGUUUUAAAACAGUUUUAUUGCUACUCUUAAGAGGAUUUGCAAAACCUCUCCGAGUGUGGUCCACUUAGCUGAAGGUGCUCUUAAAGAGGUUAUCUAGAGGUUUUGAUGUAUGAAUCAGUUCUAUUGCCAGAUUUAUAAAAUUGGUCAUGAAAAUCUCAUAUAGAGCCGAACAAAAAUGAAAGUGUUACUUUGGAUGGGACUAGAGAUCAAAAAACUCAAAAAUAUAGUUUCAAUCACAAUCAAUAAAAACAUCGAAAAAUUAGUAAAUAUGUAUUCUUAGACCUUUUUUGUGGUUUAAACCAUGAAUCUAGUUAGCGCUUUAGGGGUCUAUUGAUAGAUCGUUUGCUAUUUGCACCUUGGUAAGUAUUACAGAAUAUAAGAUCAGCAUUAAAAAAAGCAUAAAAAAGCGGCGUGAAUAUGUAAAUUUGCUCUCAUGCCUUAGGAUGUCGAAUACUUACAGAGACUGCAUCUUUAGUAGGUCAAGGGUUUACGUAUAAUGUGGACUUUGUUUGAAAUUCCACCACUAGGCGGCAACAUUAUAAAAAAUAUAUUUGUCAUAAAUAUCUCAGGACCAAAUUACUAAGUCAAAAGACAUGAUGUCUUGAACAAAACUGUUUGAAAGGUCAGGGGCUUAGAGAUGAUGGUCCGUUUCCUUCUGAGCUCAUGUUCUGUGAGCGUGCCGAAAAUGUUCUCUGAUUGCUCUUAAAAACGGGUUCACACUUUUGAACAAAAACUAGGUAACUAUUGUUCGUGCAGUUAAAAAUCGGAAUUUUUGACACGCGAAAAUCGAUGUUUCUCCUGAACCGUGUGUCGGACGUACGUCGGGCACAGUGCGCUGGAUAGAGGACCAGGACCUCAGAACAGAUUUCUGAGAUGGACAUCGAUUGGACUAACAAGAACCGUUUCCAGUCCGGGCACUACUGGUUGGGGUCCCGGGUAGAGGUGAAGUACUGGCGAUCAACACGUGAUAUUGGUUUGAUUGAUAUAAGAGAUAAAAGAUCUGAAAAUAAUAUCUGCAAAAUGUUCCUGGAACAUCUGAACAAUAUCAAAAUGUGAUAUUUCAAGAUCAAACGAAUAGCUUGCUGCUAUUGGUUAGAUCUUACAAGAUCUAAAUAUGAUCUGAUGAUAAUGUUCCAGGAGUAAAUUUUAGAUAUUAUUUCGAGAUCUUUUAUCUCUUAUAUUAAUCAAACCAAUAUCACAUUUUGAUCUCAAUAUCAUAAUAUGCUAUUAUCGAGCUAUUUUCCUCUACCCGGGGUUCUACCCAGUUUAAUGGGACCUCUGUGUUUAGAGAUGUUAGGAGAGUGAGUGGAGACCUCUAUAAGAGGCAGAGCCUGACUGCAUCCGAUCAUGAGUACAUAAUUUCAUAUGCUCUACAGAUAUUUCGUAUUCAACAAUGUCGCGAACACCUUGUGAUCUUUUGAACAGAAUAUGAACAGAACACGUUCAAAUGCAUCUCUGCCACUAAAUAGGUGGUGCUAGCUUGUGAAUUGCAAAUCUUAGAAACCUGCAGUCAGAAAUGUUCCAAAUGUCCACUGUAAAAAAAUGAUCUGCAUCAUAAUCUAGACAUGUUGCAGCCCCGGCACUUGCAAUUUUUCGUCAGGUGCUCUUCCCCUCGAGAGCGGCUUACACUUGACCCUCUUCAGAGGCUCAGAGCACAUAACAUAAGUGGAACUCCAUGGUCAGAGCGAAGGAAAACGUUUUUUUUUUCUAUCUGUAUUAACGAGAUUUUUAGCCCUAGGCUAGUUCAUCUCGGGACCCACGUUGUACUUCCCUUCCGAAGGAAGAACUCACAUUUUGUGAGUUUGUCGGGAGUGGGAUUCGAUCCCAGGUCCUCUGCGUGAUAGUCAAGUGUUCUAACCAUCACACCAGGUCCGCUCCCCAUAAGGAAAAAGUUGUAUCCUUUUCCAGCACGCAAAACUAUUAUAUCUCUCAUAAAAGGCGUCGAACUGUCAUUUAGGCCGGAACAAAUCUCAUUUUCUUCUUUUGUCACUUUGGUUGUUGACUCGUCAAGGGGGGGGGGGGUGAUAAAUAAUAAAUGUAAUUCAUGAAAAAUUACCCAAACAAUUAGGCAAAAUCGUCAAACUCAUCGGAUUUGUUAAGAAAUUUCCUCGAUGACUCUAAUUUCACUUCAAUUUUUUUUAAUUUCCUAAAUAAUUUAUUUGCGUCCCCCCUCAAAAUGUCGAAUUCAGACAAAAAAUUUCCGAGAGGGGGGGGGGGGGGGGGGUGACAUGAGGGAAAAUCGAAAUUUGUGUCAGCCUUAUUUUGGUAAACAAAAAAGUAUCUGAUCCAACCAGUAUUCCAGUUUUGGCAAAGAAUACAGGAACGAAGAUUGGCAUCUGAGAUAUGCGCAAAACUAGCUGCUGGAAAUCCACUUAUUCAUUUUGUCAUAAAUUCAUUGAAAUCUUCGAAAUAACACAUCCACGUUUCACAUAUCGAUGUCCCUUUGUAUUUAAAGCCAUAAAACGUAUUUUUGACUUGAGUUUAAAGAGUUUUAUUACAAUUGAUGUCCGAUUUUAGUUCUCCACGUGCUGCCAGUCUAGAUUUAUGAGGUCUUUGUUUUACUUCACAGCAAUGCAAAAUGGUAUACGUGUUGAAAAAUAGUAUGGCAAUAAUGUUAUAAUGCAUUUGACAUUUCGAUGCCCUGUAUACCAGCGUACGAACCCGGAAAGGCAUCAACUUUUUGAGCCAGAGUUCCACUUAUAUUGCCUACCCAAGUAACAAUUUGUAUCCUUUCUGCUCUUAGACAUUAUUUAUUGAGGUUUUGUCAUGGAUUUGCUAAGCCCUUUAUGGUUUGAUGAUGCAGUCUAAAUUGCCAAGCAGCUUGAACGAUACAAGCAACUUUAAAACACUUUGUAUAUAUCUAGAAAUCCAUUGAAUAAAACUUAUGAGCUUGCCUUUUCGCUAAGCAAAAUAUUCAAUGUAACCGGGCUGUAAGGAGCGUAUAAAAACUUGGUCCUAAAACCUAUUUCAAAGCCGCAGGCAUAUCACGUCUUAUCAUCUUAAAAAUCUGAUAGAUUGCAUAAAGUCGCAAUAAAGCCAUCUUAAACCUUUUCGGAAUAACCACUGGAAGCAUUAAAGCUAGCUAAGGAGUGUUGCGAUGCGAUCAUAUUUUGAUCAAUAGAUUUCAUAUACCACAUAAACAGAAAAGGAAACAACCAAGAAUACUUAUGUUUUAUUCUAUUUGAAAUAAAUCUUAUGGGAAAAUCUCUGGCGGGCUUUAUUUUUACAGCUGGGCGGCCAAACUAACCUUUCAAUGCGCUUUUGUUACCGGAAUUUCAGAAGCAAUCGAUGGGUGGUAGAGAUGGCAUCGUUUGCUCUGGCUCCUGCAUCAUGGCAGUUCACUUUUAUUCCAGCAAAGCCAGACGCAACCGGUGUACGAAAAUUCUUAUUGGUUUUCGCUGAAUACUUACCACUCGAGCAAAUAAAACAGCUUAAAAAAUGAAACACCACUGAAAAUUUUACGAAAAUGCGAAACUUUCGAUUUGUUUACAUUUCGCAGCAGCAGCGAGUUCUUAAGAGCAUACAGUCUGAACCCACAUUAUAUAAAUCCUUUUUGUGUUUGAGUAGCGCACAAAUGUAUGCGUUAAGAAUAAGUAUGUAUAUGCUAGUCUGGCAUCGUAUUCAUACAGUACAGCAACUCUGGAACAUGUUGCUUUUAAAUACACUAACUGAUCUUUAACAAUCUCAAAUAAAACCAGAAGGGACGGAACCAAUAUUUUUCACCGCGAUGAUCAAUUUCUGCUUGGAAAUUAUGUUCGCCAUGUUGAUGUUUGGAUUGUGAUUUGAAAGCAUAGUUUUGCAAGUUGGAUUGAAAUUGUUAAUUUUAGAAUGUCCAGAUCCUCAAAAUGACGAGGCGCUUUGCCUUAUUCAGAUGUAUUUUAAGGCAUUACACCGUCAAACUUUUUUGGCAUGAAUUUAUUUGUCAUAGCAACAGAGAUUUCCUCCGUGAAAAUUAAAAACUGAAUAUUAUUGACAUGGAUGACCGACAUAAUUGUGGUUUUUUUCAUUAUUAAUAAUUUGCAAUUUACUGCCAGUUUAUGUGAUGAUACUUGUUUCAGAUUAUCUUUAAGACUUUGGUUUUAACCGUUCAUUUAAGAUGUUUUUCGAACUUUUAAACGGCUUAUUUGUCUUCUUGCAACCUACAAACAGAUCUUAUCUAUGCUGUGUAAUAUACUACAAGAAUAUGUCAUAAAACCAAGUAGCAUGUUCAACGUUUUAAGGAAUGGUUUUAACAACCUCCUGUAGGGUGGGCCCUUUCGGGUUUAAUAGAGUUUUAUCAUGGGUUUAUUAGAGCUGUUAAGACCACUAAGCUUUAAAAUGAGUUUUAACGGUUAGAUUAUUACAACAGCUUGUAGGCUAUAAGAAAACUAAAAUUGUUACUUGGGUAUGCUCUAAAGAACCCGUAAAUUUGAAUAUCGGCUAACGGCAACUCAUAAUGGAUCCCCAAUCAAACCCCAAACAUCCUCGCGCUCAUCAUUCUACCAUGGACAGGGUAGAAAAGUGACAGCAGCGCAAAGGCAACCAGUUCGAUAUAGUAGAAUUAUAAUAGAAUACAUUUAGGCACUGUACAAAGUGUAGGUUUAGCUGCCAAUUGGAAACGCUCACGCAGUGCCCUAGUGAACAAAAGAGCUGUAAAUUAGGUUAAGUGGUUGAAGAAUAAAAAAAAAGAAGUGCAUAAAUAUCCUUUAGAAAACCAAUUUUUGAUCCAAGGCCCCGAGGGCCAAGUCCCAUAUACCAACCAACUCAGCUCGACAAACCGAGCAAAUGCCUGUACAUGUGUGUAUGUGUGCGUACGUUACAAAAAAAGUCACUCGCGUUUCUCAGUCGUCUGUCUUCGUUAAAUGUAAACAACAAGUUGUCUUCGUCUAGGGAAGAUGCAAGCAAAUGUGUGCGUUGAUUUUCUGCAUACAAAACAGCGUAUUUCCCAACCACAGAGAAAGAUUUCUUCGUUGCACUGUGAUGGCGAUCUGGUGGACAAAAAUAUUAAAUAAAAUAUUUUGGUCGUUAUUUCAAAGCUAAAUCCAUCUCAAUAUAAAGGCUUUCUGCUCAAAAGUACUUUGAAUACAUGAUUUGAUUUGGAUUGCGAAGAACAUGACAGACUUUUCGAAUAAUCAGUUAGGGUCAAAUUAUAUUUUUUGACCACCCCAUGUAAGAUAGUGUCACAUAGAAGGUGUGCCAGGAAUUGAAUCCAGGUUGUGCCCGAAAUAGACGUGGACUAGAUGGAAACUGAAUUCGAGGGAUAAAAAUUCAAUCUUAUUAUUUUUAGGAAAUUAUAGUUCUUUUUCAAUAUUUUUUUACGUGAUAUGGUAGCAAAUUUAUAAAUCACUAAUUAAUACCAAAUUGAACAUGGUAAGGUACCCCGGGGCAAGUGAGAAUCGGGGGCAAGUGAGACCUAUAGCUAGUAUUUUUAUUAUUAUUUAUUUUUAAGACUAACAUUCUUCAUGGAAAACAUAGGUAUCACACCUACGGAUACUUUGAAUAAAAAAAAUGUUAUUGUUUCAACCAUAAAGAGACCAUAUACGAUAUUGUUGUUCAUAUGUAAUUUUUAAUUCACUAGGUGAGAUUUACGUGCUCUACUACAUUCGUCGUUUAAAAAUAAAUUUGUCAUUAUGAAAUUAUUUUUUCGGUUUCAGGAUAGUAUUUGGAGUUCUUGCAAAUGAUUUCAAGCGAAAAAGCUGUAUUUUAUUUUUAUUUAUUACCUUUAGUUUACUGCUCUCACUUGCCCCAGUGCAUUUCGCUAUCUGGGGUAAGUGGGACCUAUGAGAAUAAACAAACACAAUUGUAUGGGUUCAUCUCGCCUUGUCCAGCCUAAGAUGAAAUUAGCACGAAAGUCAAUAAAAAUUGACGCGUUAAGUAAUCUACUGUUGAAUUAUACUUUAUUACCUCUAUUUAGAUGAUGAAAUUCUUGUUAAAAAUGGUAAAACAUUGGGUAAAAAAAAAUCCAAAAGCAUGUAUUUUUUAUGUUUUUUUCUAAAUAUCUUCCAUUAUUUUUUCACUUCACGCUGCAUAAUGAAUUCUUUUGAGCAUUCAGGAACCGUCCAUCAAAAAUCAAAAUAGGGAAAUGACCUUUUCAAAAUUCAUGAUUAAAAAAAACAUUAUUUAAUGAUCGUAAGAUUAUGUAAGGGAGAAGAUAUUACUGAAAAUCUCGAAACUCCAUAUUUACUUUUGGCGAGACUCAUCAACUAUAUAAUAUAGAGACCAAGUUUCGAAAUCUUUUGUCUCUUCACUUUACGGCGCUUUUUGUAUAAAAAAUCAAUUUAUUUUGCAUGAGCUGCUAGAGUUGAUUCAAGUAUUUUUUCCUCAGCAAUUUUUUAUGUGUUACGUAAUUUAUGCACGAUACCAUAAACCUCUUCCUAUUUUAAUCUCUAAAGAUAGUCAUUCAUAUAACAGAUUUAUGAUUUAUGUUACCUUAUUUGUUGCAACUUAUAUUAAGCCCUUUGAACAAAAACUCUGAAUAGGUCCCACUUGCCCCGUGAAACGCAGUAAAUGAAGAUCUGCUACACUUUUCAUUAUAUGCAUAACAUACGGAAUUUUAAAAUUUUGAAACAGUUUUAAUGCACGUUAAUAAGUACAAAUAUACCAACAACGUCUUUUGGGUUCAUUGGAUUUAUUAAAAAAAAUGUGUUCUGAAAUUUUUGGCAUGACAAAACCAAAUUAGCAUUUUUUUUAGGUCCCACUUGCCCCGGGGUACCUUACAUUAGACGAGGUGCAAGAAUAAACUCGAUCAGUGUUGGUCGGUUCUUAUCUAGACGGGAAUUAGAUAAAAACCCUAUUACUUACAUGUGAUGCACGUUUGCCUUUAGUCCUAUUUUUAUUCAAUGACUGAGCGAUAAGCUGUUUUGACACGUCUCGUAAAACGGACUAUAAUUUUUCUCAUCACUGUCUUUGUACAUGAAAUCACUAAAGGAACCGUGACGUAUUUGUUUCGCAAAAAAAUAUAUUCAUGCAUAAAAACUAGGUGAACCCACAACCAAAAAAAAAACCCACAUGCAUCACGCUAAACGGAGCAAAGCAGCAGGCGCCGUCACCAGCACGCCAAACACAGCACUAGCCUGACAAAGUUGGCGAAAAAAAUUGCAAUUUUAAACUUGGUCGCGUUUAGCCGGUCAGGCGGCGCGUUUCGUUGCUUUGGUUGAAUUUAAUUAGGGCCAGACUGUUUUUGGCAAUCUUUUUGGUUUGUUUUGCUUUUGCUCGGUUCAACAAAACUUGUGGGGACCGACGGAGAGUCCGUCCCGCGGGUACGUCAACCGCGAGCAAAAACAAUUACAAAAGGAUUACAAAAUAUGAAGGUCUCGGUAUGAAAACGUGGGUGGUGAAAAGAGGCGGUGUAAUCCUAUUUGCCGGGUUCACAGAGCUUUUAUCAAUUAAAUAAGCGAAAGGUUCGCUUGUUGAGUUGGGGCUUCUGGGAAUUAACCUUCUGCGUGAUGGAUUUCGGUUCAUUUUAAUUGCACUUUAAAGCAGAGUUCAGUAAAAUAUUAAGCCGAAAGCAAUGAACCAACUGGCAUUUCACUUUUUUCCCUUGCAUUUUGCAGAGUACUUCCUGGAUAAAAACUCUAUGCAUUCAUGGUACAAAUGUCUGAAAUUCCUUUUGUUCAUAAACUUCAUUAUCGCAUAAUACAUAUCGCAAUGUUGAACUCCAGUUGUGAUAAAUAAAUAACGUAACGCAAGAAAAUAUAUUGACUCUCUUCUUUCAACCUUAAUCUUUUUUAUAUGAAAAAAAUCCAACACUUAGAAUACUGCAUACCAUCCCCUUGAUCCCCUCACUUCGUUACGGAAUUUAUGUUCGUUGCCAAAGACUGCCAGAAACGCACAGCUGGAAUUUCAAGGUGAAUAUAAAACGAACAAUAAUUGUAGCAAUGCGAGCGCGAAAACCGCACCGAACCGAUUAAUUUCUUAGCUAAUAGAGCAAUUAAAAGGCUCUUUUAUUUAGCACCCGAUAGUCGGCGCCGCCACUGCCGGCGCGCCGCACCAACGCUAUCAGUCAGCAGCGCAGACUUGUGCGGAUUGUGUGAUGAGCUCUCGAUCGAGCGAGAGGAUCCACGCACGUGAUACACGCUAAAUGUUGUUUAUUUACAUGUUUUCAUUGGGGUUUUCUUUCCGUUUUCGCUUCCUCCUGAGAAUCUCCCGGAAUGAUAACGAACUACAUCAUUCACAGAUGUUUCCUUUGUUGUUACAUCGGCUCCUGUACAUUACGUUAGUUCAUUUCCACAAGCACGGGUCUGGGUAGUCGCGUGCCUUAUGGAUGUAAAUAUAGAGUUUCAGAGUUUAAACAUUGUUUAAACUUUGUUAACAAAGUUCGUUAAUUGUCAUGCUGAGGCACAAUUUUAAUUUUUAAUGCAGUGGUUGUUAAACCUAACAAACUCCUCUUAGGUAGUGGUCAGAAUUCAUUGCUUCUUGUUAUUUUUUCAGAUGUUAAGUUCUUACUAGGGCAUAUGCAUACGCGGGCUUCUCGGCUUAGUAUUCUAUGAGCACUUCCACAGUUAUUCAGUAUUAAGAGCAUUCUUGGUCAAUUGACUAUUUUGCACUUGAAUAUCAUGAGAUAGGCAAGAUGACACUACUACAUGUCCAAGGAAGUCAAGAAUAUUUUCAUUACGUAAAGAUCCAUGAUCUAACGGCAAUAGAACCCGUUGCCCUCAGGCUCAGCAUGGUUUUAUUGAAUGCCCGUAGAUAAGGCAAAUUUGCAGUUAUGGAGUCCCGGGAACAAUGUUAAGAGGAGUACAUUUUGCUAAUAUAGAAUGGAAAACAAUCAAGAGUAUUUUAUUUUUCAUUCCUACAGAAAUGUUUUGAUGUUGUUGUGGGGUUGUUUUGCAAAGGUUCUGGUGGUGUAUCUCUAGUCACCUUGAGAGUAUUUGCAUGCAAUAUUAGUUAGUUAAAUAGAAGCAAGUUGGCGGCCGUUGAAUAGUUAUUUUUCGCGAAGAAAAAUAGAUAAUAUUGUAAUAAGAGUCAAGUACGUGUUCUGUACCGGUAACUAUUAGACACAUUCCAGCGUAACGGGACACCGUGAGGAACUAACUUUCGUGAACAAAUGACGUCUGCAGUCGAAUAUAAUGUUCAUGACCAUAUGGUUUAACAGGUUUUAUAACAAGCUUAUUAGAUGUACUUGCUUAUGCAAUACUUGUUCUAUGGGGUUUUGGUUCCAAUUUACUUUAUAUAACAUGUUACAUUUCGUAACGGGACACAAUCGCAGAAAUUUUAUUUUAAAAAUUUUCAAACUGAAAUGCGUAUAUUAGUUCUGUUAUGAGGUUUUCAAUAAUAGAGUCUUCUAGACAUUUCUUUUUUGGAUGCAUGUGAACAAGAUUGCCGAAGUGAGUUUUACUGAGAAAUGUAUAGUUUAGGAUAUAUUCUUGAUUUAGUUUUGGGAGCGCAGAGUUACGCUCGCGUGAAAACUAUGUUUUGCAAAUGGUGUCCUGUUACGGCGAAAGAUAUCUGGUUGUAGAUCAAAUGCAUUGCUAGAUAGAAUGUUGGUGUCUUCGGCAAUGUUUUUUAGACAGAUGAUGGCUGUCCAGCAGAACACAAAUAGGCCUCCAAACCCGCUCUGGCCCUAUGGUGGCCAUCGGAAUGGGCCCUGGGGAACCUGUUUCGAGUUUUAUUUAACCUUCACGUACCCGACCCCCGACAAUUCAUUUUCAAAAUGCUGGCGUCAAUUUUCAUCCGAUUUUUUUUUUAAAUCGCCCUCAAUUGAUCAUAAAUUGGUGCUAGUUUAUUAUACGCAAGUGGGAGCAGGCCGUUAGGCCGAAAGCCGUUAGGCCGAAUGCCGUUAGGCCGAAGGCCAUUAGGCCGAAUGCCGUUAGGCCGAAAGGGUCGUUAGGCCGAAAGGGUCGAUAGGCCGAAUAGGUUGUCAUUAUAUGUGUCUACUGACUUUUAUUGUUUUCUAUUGCACAAAACGAAAUAAACAUGAGAAAAGUCGACAUCAUUGGGGAACUGUGGGGGAUAUCAAUUUGGGAGGCUAAGUAGAAAAGAUUUAUAAUACAGCAUCUCGAAAAAGCUUAUUUUUAGUUAGAAUCAAAGUGUUAUGGUGAACGGGCACAACCAAAGCUAUCGACAAGAUAAAGAUUUUCAAUACAGUAUAACGCAUUUAGUUCACCACUAUCGCCCGAGUUUUCAAGAGUGCGAAAACGUAAAUAAAAGUGCGCGAUUGUAACUAAUCAACUCGGUGUGUUCAGAGCACUUAUUCAGCAUAAAUCAAAGAAAUAGUGCGCCGAAGACAUCAACUGGAUUUGAUGCAAUCGCGCACUUUUCUUAACGUUUUCGCACUUACGAAGACUGAUUGCGCAGUCCAGUGGUGAACUAAAUGCACAGUAACAUUGUUAACAUAAUUAUACUACUUCCAAAUGAAUGUAAUACAAAUCAAAAAGGCUAUUAUACCUAACCUAAAAGCAUCAACAUCAUCGUGCUUAUCAUUCUAGCAUGAGUAGGAUACAAAAAAGAAAACAGCGCAAAGGCAAUCAGUUCAAUAUAGUAAAAUGGAAUACAUUUAGGCGCUGUACAAAGUGUAAGUUCAGCUGCCAAGUGGUAUCGCUUACGUAGGGCCCUAGUGGACAAAAAAGCUGUAAGGAUAAGUGGUGAAGAAUAAAUAUAGCAUUUCAGCUAUUAAAUUUAACAUCGGGGUUUUGUCCUUCUUUUAAACAUAGGCUGUUCUUUGUAUUUUAAUGUUCUACUCACUAUGAGAAUUACAGUAAUUAAAUUUUUCAUCGGAGAUUUUAAUAAAAAAUAGGUAUAAUGUUUUCAACCUUUACCAUGCCAGCAGGCAUAUUUGCAAAUAAUCAAUGAAAAAUUUCAUUUUUCUCACAUAAAAUGCUAUUACUUCACCUAGCUGUGUAAAUAUGUAACCAGUCUAAUUUUAAGUAAAACAAAUGGUUUUCCUAAGAUUGAAUCUACCCUUUUUCAUAUGCUGGAAAGCUUGGGGCGAAACAAUCACUUUGAAAUUUCACACCCUUGACGUAGAGGUGCGUGGAAUGUGUCAUUAUAAUUUAGAUUGUGGCCUUGUAUAGAUAAAAAACGAUUUCGAUAAUGUUUAUAGGAAAUAUUUGUUCAAAUAUUUAAAAAUACAAUGACCACUGCUCAACAACUACAGCCACCUGACAGAAUUGCACAAAGUUUCUGUAAGAUUUGUGCAUCGAAACGUUGGAAAUUAACAGAAACAAGCUAGGUUUUGAAACUAUUAUUCAAGUAUAAAAAGUUACAUUAGGGGAGUUUCUGACAACCUGCCAAAACAAACUUUGGAAACUUUUUUCAAGUGUUGGCCACGCCACCAACAUUUUAGCCUGAUUCGCCAAGGGUUCGAUGCAUUACCCGUUUUUUUUUCUUUUUAUUAUUUAUGGCUCCAAGUUCCCACUGGAACUUGGCCUGCCUCUCUUCAACUUAGAGUUCUUUGAGCAUUUCCACAGUUAUUAAUUGAAGGGCUUUCUUUGCCUGCCACUGGAUGAAUUCGUGUAUUGUGAGGCAAGUACAAUGAUGCCCAGCCUACUAUGCCCAGGGUGUCGAGAAAAUUAUCCCGACCAGAACGGGAAUCGAACCAACCGUCUCCGGAUUGGCCUUAACCACUGGAGACCCGUGUAAACGCCGAAGCUCCAUCAUUACAGGAGAUACUAAUAGACCAGCCAUUCGUAACAUGAAAUCGGACCGACCGCAUAUCAUCCGAGAUGCUUAUACCCCGUAGAAUCUGAACAACUGUUGCACACUGUGCGGAUGGCCCAAAAACGUGAUCGAAAUUGUUUUGACCAUGAAAACAUGAUUUUUGAUCUUUGGUGUCUUCGGCAAAGUUUUUCUAUAAAAAUAAGCCCUAAUUUAUGGAAACAUCAGUUUUGUGAUCAAUCCCCCUAAAAGUGAGAAACGAUUUCUAUCUUUUUUAUUUGUAAACUAAAACAAUAUGUUUGUUCAGAGAAGUUGUAGACAAUUUUACUUGAAAUAACUUUGCCGAACAUACAAAAUUUCUAUCUUUUGAUUUGUAUGUACAUUUGAGGCAUUUUUUAUGAAGCACCCUUAAAAAUCAGUUUUUUGCUUAUAACUUUUUCUAUGCAUUUUUCACAAUUUCCAAGUGUUCUAGCAAAUGUUUGACCUUAUUAAAACGCGUAACUUUCUCGAAGAAAGUAUAUAUCUAUCUCUCAUAUUUAUCAUGUAAUUGGAAAUUUUACUUUAAAAAAUGCUUAUGUUUAACAUGCCCAUUUGUUAACUUUCGCACGUUUUCGCAGACCAGGAUUUCCAUAUUUGAAAAUAUGGAACGAGUUUUAUCUAUUGCAAAUAUAGCCAGUUUUAGCCUGAUUUCGCCUGUAUAUCAAAAUUCACAUACUAGAAAUGACUAUCAUUAUAAAAUGUGUCAUAGUAAAAUGAUCAAGAUAUCAAAAAAUGUACUUAGUGCUUUUCUUACAUGAUUUUCCCACAUGAACACGCAAAAAUGUUUUCACAGAAUUGUUUGGAACUGCAUCAAAUGACUUUCCCAUAAAAUUAAAGUUUUUUUUUUCAGAUUAACAGUGGCUCUCAAAGUAAUACGAUAAGUCUCUUCCACAAAAUAAACGAUACUGUUAAAUGCUCUUGAUAAUGCUCAUAAAAUUUUUCGUGUUCAAAAAUGUUAAAAAAAUGUUAAAAUGCAAAAAUGUUAAUUUUCAUUGUGUUACCUUACGGUACACCGCCAUUUUGUAGGCCAGUUACGAACUGGUGAAGCACACGAUUCGGCCUAGUGGUCCCUUGUUGGCCACUACGCCUGACCGUAAACGAUUAAACCCGCUCUGGUCCUACGAGGUCGUAAUUGUGAAGGAGCGAUUCCUCGGACCCCUACGGGUGCCCUAACCGCCAAAGAGGACCCCUCUCGGCAGAGCCAAUCCGGCCUUGGAAGACGCCAGCGAGACAGGCAGAUCGCACCGUCAAGCCAAGACGAUCUGCUGACCGAUCCACCAAGCCAAUUUCCGACCAGCACACCACCACCCCAAACCGUCAAUCCGCCGGCGGACAGGCCGUUCAGCCCGCAGCAGCAUCGGCGAGCGCUCGUCCACCGACCAAAACUUCAGGCAGUGCACCACCAACAGCAGCAGUACGUCCCACAAAACCCUAAUAAAACUACCCACUCUACACCAUAAAACACAAUAGUUUUCAAAAACUCGAAAAAAAUAAAUAAAUAGGGUAUCGCGCCACUUGGGCGGUGGCUUCUAUAUUCGUCUGUUUUCCACUAUAACUCAGUCAAUUUUGAACCAAUUGACUUGAAAUGUUGUACACGGGUAGAUACUAUACCUAUCUCACUGCAUUUCAAAAAUUGUGUCAAUUGGUUCAAAUUUGACUGAGUUAUAGCGGAAAACAGACGAAAAUAGAAGCCACCGUCCAAGUGGCGCGAUUCCCUAGGAAGGCUCUGGAAUUAUUUUCCCUUUAAAUAAACCAAGUGCUCGAAGGGGGAUCAAGUGUCACCCAUUUUUGAAAAAUACAUCAUAAGACAUGCCUCCAUAAAAACACAGUUUUGAAAACUUGAACAAUAAUUUAAAGGCCUUCUGUUGUGUAUUAAUUUGCAAUAGAUGUUUACCUGCCAUUUUGUAUGGAAAUUGGAUCUGGUUUUGUGUUUUUUCUUAAAGUUUUAGGUAAAUUAAGAAAAAGGGAUCACGUCUCCCCAGUCUCCCCUACGGUUAUCUUUGCUUUGCUUGUUUUGCUACAUGAUUUUGGACAAAUUUGAGCCCUUCAUAGGAGAAAUGCAAAAAGUAUGCUUUCACAUACAAAUUUCAACUGCAAUGCGGAAUGCGUAUAGAGUACAUCGAAUGGAAUUCGAUUUGGAGCAGCUUAUCCUGAGUUUAUAGUAAUUAUAUUUUAAAGUUAUAAUUCUUCAUGUUAGCAUUUCCGUCCCGUAACCUACCAAUUAAGCUCUAAACUGCCUACAGAUAGAGAAAACGCUCUUGCACCGUAAUUAAAGUUUCAUUUUCUUUCCCGGACUAAUUAACCCAUUGCUUUGGAAGACUAGACGAAAACUCGAGCCGAAAAAUCAAUCAGUGAGUUAAUGGGUAAAAUCAGCGGACGCAUCGGUUAAUAAAAUAAGACAAAGAUGUAAAUCCAACCGCCACCAAAAUCAAUAUGCAUCGGAAAGUUGUAAAAGCCCUGAGGGGUUAAUAAAAUUAUACGCAAAUAAAAUUAGAGGCGCAGUGACGCACUAUGAAUUGCUGCCGGUGCGGUGGUACAUUAGCGCAUUUGAAAAUGUAAUAGCCGCCGUCAAGCCCACAAGCAGUAAACUGCGCGCGCAAGGUUGAUGCACAUUGCAGUAACUAUCACGUUGCGUGAAGCAAUCGGGCAAACCAUUAUUAUACUGGAACUGGAUAGGUUUGCGUGAACAAACAGACCCACUGACGGCGAGCAGAUCGCUUCGUACAAAAUGCUAAUGAUUGAGAGUGAGUGGAUCACUUUCACUCGGAAACUUGGAGCAUAGGGUAGAAGCUUCAGUUUUGGCCAGCCCGAAGUUUUGGCCAUAGUGCGGUAUUCAGCCUGUUACGAUCUAAAUCGGCAUAAAUUUAUUUUUUACUAGUAGUUUCUAAUAUAAUAUGAUGAUAACAGCUGUGAAAACCAUACAUUUUGAUUAAAAACUGGAAGAAAAAAAAUAUUUUUUCCUAAAAAAUCAGCUCCCAUAUAUCUAUUUUGGCCAGGGUGCUUCUAAUUUGGCCACUCCCAUAAGAAAUACACGUGAUUGGCCAAAAUAGAAACCAAAGCUGAGAAUAUGGCCAAAACUGCGGCAAUGCUUCUAUUUUGGCCAGUGCCACUUUUAAUACAAAAAUCAAGUAUUAGCUUGAUUUCUGCAUUUUUCUAAUAAAGUAUAGAUCGAAACCUUUCAUUUAACAAAUUGGUAGUUUUCAUUGGAUUAUUGGUUAUUUUUAUAAAAAUGAUUUCCCUUAGACUGGCCAAAACCGGUGCCCGCACCCUACUGCGUUUACGGGUACGUACGAUGCGAUAUUGAUGUGUCCUUUCAAAUUACUUUUUUUUUCAUAUUUCUGACAGUUUUGUUCUCCUUCCCAAGCAAGCUGAGUUAUAUGCCCAAAUUUCAGGCAAUUCGGCCCAUAAAAACCUCUCAUGACGAAGAGAACAAACCUGCCGAUAAUACCAGUCACCUUAUAACGCUGCGUAAACGUCAGUUUAUAGCGAAAGAACGAAAAAUUUACUUUUUCGCACAAUUUAUUGAAAGAUAGCACUUUCCAGUCACUGCAGAAAUACUUCAGAUACCUUGGCCUCGACGGCUUGAAUUGCUACUGCAUCUAUUGUUAAAUCUCCCAAGCACCCAAAUAUAAAGAGUUAGAAUAUGUUUCUUCCCUUUCUUCAAAAAGAAUGUUUAUUUUAUGGAUAUUACUGAGUGUGACUCACUCACCCUUCCUGUCUUCAUGUACAGAUAGAGCAAAAUAAAACGAGCCCAAAUAAUAAAAUUCCACUCGAAACUAGGUCUGAGCGACUUGGACGGAAUAAUUCGGUCAUCAUCGCAUCAGUCACAACCAGAAGACGGGACCGACCCAGACAACUAGGUAGGUAUGUCUUGGAACUUUGCCCGGUAGCCCCUCCGUACCGAAUGAGUAGUGGUGGUGCAAUGCUUAAAAUGCAAAAAACGAGAGAGUAACCACAAUGAGGCAUACCUUAGGUCCCAAGAGAGAGUCCGCGUACCGGUAAGACGAUGAACCGUGAGAACUUUCCAUUCUGUUUUUAUUUCGGUAUUCCUAUCCAACGCGGCUCAUCGUGCUUGCUGAGCUUUCAGUGUCACCAAAAGCUACGCCAUUCGCAACUGUUGUGUGUACGUGCACUAAUGUAGCUUCCGCGAUAUCUACAUGAGUCACAAUGCAAUGGACAAUUCAGUGAUUAUAGGGGUAUUCACUAAACAGAUUAAAUUGCUGCGUAAGCCAUGAUUUUCUGCUUAUUUGAAAUGUUUCAUGAUUUUGCGAAUGAAAUAAUCGAAGAUUGCCUUGGUGAACGCGACGUUUAAUCAGUUUAAUCAGUUUACGCUGUUAAGUGAAUCCCCCUUAUGUUUCUCGUUUUCCUUUUUAUUAUUUUUAUUAUUAUAAUGAGAUUUUGAGGGAAAUGCUUAUGAAUUCUGUGAAGCCUGAACUAGUGUGCCCUUGAACUCCUAAAGAGAAGAAUUUGUUAUCGAUUUCCAGUAUCAGAUUAAGGUACACCAGGGCAAGUUGAAACGGGUGGGGUAAGACGCCAAUACAAUUUGGACAAUAAUUAGACAACUUCAUGUUAACCCGCUGUUUCAUCUUACCCCACCCGUUUCAAUAUACCCCGGUGUACUUCAUUAAUGAACCUUUGCUUUGCUAGAACUCUGCUCAACUAUUUGCUUCGCAUGAGAGAGCACAUGCAACGGAAGCGGUAUACGCUCGGGUAUUCAACAAUGAAAAAUAUAACAAAAAAAUUUAAAAAAAAUCGAAGUGUAGGCUUUUUAGAAAAUUGAAACUAUAUGACAUAACAGAUUCGCGAUGAUUUUUUUUCAGUGUAUUUUGUUUUUUUUUCUAAGUUUUUGAAAUAUGUCUGACCAAAGUCUACGCUCCAUACAAAUUUCAAAAUUUUUUUAGGAACAAAAGUCUACGAGAGGGAAUGAAGGGGGGGGGGGGGUGGUCUUCAGGUAUCACUAGGUUGGCUCCAGAGGCACGUUCUCCUCCAUUUGGGAAAUUUGUGCCAUUAGGGGGGGGGAGGGUCUUUGAUGGCCAAAAUUUGGUCUACGUGGUUUAUGAGCAGCCGCUUAUUGGAUUCGAUAAGAAUAAAUCUAAAAAAAUACCGAAAUCCCUACACUAUCACAAUAUAUUUUUGUGAACUUUCAUCGGCAUCUCAUCGAAAUCCCACCAAAAUCCCCAUUGAUUUUUUACCAUUCUACCAUGAAAAGUUCACGUCGGUUCCAUCUAAAGUCUGGAAUGAGGCAAAAUAACGAAAUGACAUCCAAAAUAUUUAUCGAAAUCCCACAAAGACAUGUACCGAAGUUUUACCAAAAUUUCUACCCAACUCCCAUUGAACACACUGAGAGCUUCCAAUUUCUAUCAGAGUUGCCAGCAGUGUCUUAAUUUGUCAAAUUACAGUCAUCGGCAUUGACGUCCAGUGGCUCUUGGGGGACAUCCAUUAAGUACGUCACGGUUCUAGGGGGGAGGGGGCUUUGCGAAAGUGUGACAAUCAAUGUAUUAGGCAUAGGAGAAACCCGUACGAAGGGGGCGGGGGGUUGAAAAUUCCUAAAUGUGGCUCGGUGGUAUUUUCGGCUUUAUCUUUUUUGUUUCAAAUUUCUCGUCAAAGUCGCCCAAAAACCACUUUUAGAGCUUAAAAAACGCGCAUUUUCGUGCGCUGAGAAUGUUGCUACGUCAUUCCGUUCAAAAGAUAUUGAUGAUUUUCUAGAAAAAAUAGGCACUUUUCAAGUAUUUUUCACUUGAGUUACAAAAAUAACACCCCCCUAAUUUUUUUAUAUGUUUUAUAACAACAUUUCUUCUUAUGAAUGCGGGCAAAAGAUAUUUUAUGCAAUUCAGUAUCAUAAUUUCGAUUUUAUACUACUCAUUUCGGUAUCAUAAUGACUUAUUUUUCCGUACCGAUUCAUUAUGCAACUGAAAUGAGUUGCAUAAUGACGAUUCAUUAUGCAACUGAAAUGAGUUGCAUAAUGAAAAAUAGUUGCAUAAUGUUCAUUAUGCAACUCAUUUGAGUUGCAUUAUGAACAUUAUGCAACUCAAAUGAGUUGUAUAAUGAAAAAAUCAUUGCAUAAAAUUUUGUAUGGAACUCGUUGCAAAACUCGAUUUUUUCAACACUCUUCGUAUUUAUCCAACUCGGCAAGCCUCGUUGGAUAAAUGUACGACUCGUGCUGAAAAACUUUUUGCAACUCGGUACAUAAAUAACUAUUUUAUGUUUGCCCCAACCCAUCAUAAACCCUUUUUAAAAAACUAUGAUUUUUUUUAAGAGAAAUGCCUAUAACUUUUGAACCAAAAGAGAUAACGACCAUCUCAGCGCACGAAACGACGCGUCCUCAAAUGCUCUACAAGUGUUUCUUGGGCGACUUUGAUGAAAAAUCGAAACUGAAAAAGUUAACGCCAGAAAACCAGAUUUUCUUGAACCACCCUAAGCUUACUCAGAAAAAUACCUCUAGAUCGGUCAAUUUCAAAGCUACAUAAAAAGUGGCUUCAGCAAACUUGCUCAAAAUUGAUAGAUCUACAACUUUCCCGAAGAAUGUAUACAGUUAUUCUUGCAACUAAAAAAGUUUGGUUCCCAAUUUCUUUGAAAAUAUGGCACAUCCUAAUUUUCAUGCACAUUUUAAAGAGGGCCUUAUUAUUAGGGACAACUUUGUAGAAGAUCAUAUUUGCCUAAAACUCAUUUGAAGGCGUUGAAUGCAUCUUUCCUCGUAAAUCUGGUUCGUGGACCACCGUGCACUGGUUACCAGUAUCUCACCAGAAGUCAUACUCACUAGUUUACUACAUUUUGGCGGAAUAGAUGUCGAAUGUCUGCCAAGCAAGAGCCAAAGUAUUACUAUGAUUAUUACAGGAAUUCCAUCAAUCCUCUAAAGAAAUUCUCCAGAAUUAAUAUUAUAAUCUAACAAAGUUACAACCAUAUUUGUAAGCAAAACCUUCGAAUUUUAAUUUGAAACACUCUCUAACUAUUAGCCUAUUUUUUUAUUAAUACUACUCAGUUGAUGGCGUAUACAUCUGUACUUGUUCCCCCAGCUGCAGCACGUUUUGAAUUGGCAUGUCGGUACCGGUGUUAUUUAGAAUAGACUUCCAAAGGAAUUUGCACGAACAGAGGAAAUUACCGCCAAACACUCGAAGCAAAUAUUUACUUUCACACCGAGCCGGCUCGGCAAACCGAAAUUCUAUAAAAUAAUCGUAUAUUUACACACGUCUUUGAUCAUGGUAUGCAAAGAUCAUGCUUGUACUCAUUCUUCAAACUGAAUUCAUUGGCCAAUAUUCACCUGCUAGGAGGGAACAGGUUUGACAACAAACUUUUGAACAUUUUGCAGCCAUGUCGAAAAGAAAAAAAAACCUGAAUAAUGACCGGCCGCCAAUAUUUGUCAACCUUUAACAACUCUACCGUGGUAUCUACCGCAACCAGCACAAUUGUCCACAGCCGGACAGACAGCUGACGUAAUUUCAACGAUAAUCGCGUUUUGUAAAUAGGAAAAAAACGCCUCAAGAGGUCGCUACUUCGGUACAGCAGCAUCGUGAAAGAUCACACAUCUUGUGAUGGUUGGCUGGCUGGCUGGCUGGCUGACUGGUAAUGCACCUGUGUAUGACCGACCGGACCAUGAGCUAGUAUCUGGGGAAAUCACCUUACUCUAUCUCAGAAAACACUGGCAAAGAUCGCGCUCACCAUGGGGUGGCUGACUACCGCCGCCACCGCCAUCAAGCGACCUGCUAAAUGGCAGCGAUUAUUUCGUCUCUAAGGCUCCACAUUAAAUCUAUCUUUGGUGGUACACGGUCGUACACAUGCAUGAACUAAGGCUCUCGCGCCGCGAUUGUGGCGGUUUACCUUGGCACCUGAUGCUCAGGUUUAGGCAGGACUGGUCGGUGACCGUCGUCGAUCAACGGACGGACGUAGAUGUAGGGGUACGGAUGGACGCCGCUGCUGUUUCUCAAGUGUAAUCACGGUGUUGCUUAAGGUGCAACACAAAGUGCUGCUAAACCACGCGGUUGCAUAAGGGACAGAUAAUUGCCGAACGUUUUAUGGCAAUCAGAUCAGCAACUGUUUGACCAUACUGUGAACUGCUUUUGCAAAUAUCUCUGGUAAAGCAGAAAUCACUUAAAUCUUUACGAUUUUUUCAUAAAGAGCUAAAAUAUUUUUAAAAAUUAAACGGGCAAUUCAAAAUUUCUAAGUAUUUUUACAAUAACAUCGAUUUAAAGUAUCUGAUCUAUCUGACUCCAAUUCAAUUUAGGAAUGUGUGGAUCCAAUGCACUAAAGCUUUCCAUGAGCUUAACUGUAUCCUGCUAUGGGCUGUUAACCUAGGAUAUCUUGGGAUAUUAAGGUAAAGAUAUGAAGUAAUCACACCUCGAAUUUUCCAGAGUACCAAUCUGAGCAAAUAAAUGGCGUUUCCGUUGAAAACGUUGGUUUCAAGAUUGGUCCUGGUUAUCUGCUGAUAAGGAGCAAACGAUCACAGGUUUGUGCUCUUCAAAAUACGAAGUGCGGCUUCGUUAUAUCUUCACCUUAACAACUUUCUUAAUCUAAACUGAAAUUUUCCAUUCGCAAUCUUGUGCUUAGAGGUCCAACCUAACUCAAUGGAGGCUAGUAUGGGUUAGUAAAGGUGUUGCAAAAUGGUGGGUCAGUCGAUCGACAACCUGGAAGGAGUUUUUAUAUUUGUACCAUCGAGUUUCUACAUCAUGAAGUCACGUCGCAUGGCAUGUUUUGGUUGAAAACCAGAGAUGUCGCCAAUGAGGCCUCCACGGAUCCUGCCAUAGUAAUCUGAAAGGGCCCACUUCAAAUUGUGGUUGUAGCAAUUGUGCUUUAUCGUUCUCAGAACAAAUUCAAGGCGGUUACAGAAGUACCGAUUUGAAAACCGUAAAAUCCACGCCAAGCCAUUUGAAAUCCGCAUCGGCGUCAUGAAAUCCGCACCAUUAACGUUAGCAUUAGCAUUGUUGAGCAAGUCGCACAAAUUCGUAUGUACCGUCGUUGGGGGUGAGAAUGGGUCAAAAAUGCAUACUUCCACAUACAUUGUUCAAUUACUUUUGCUUCUUUGCGUGUAAAAGUCAUUCGAUCACUGGAAUGUAAUCUUUGGUAAUACAUGCACAAAAGAUAACAAAAAUAUUUGGAGUUUGUCAAUUUUCCCUGAAACUACAUGUGUAAAAAGGACUCAUUCUCACCCCUUCGAGAAGAUGAGAAUGGGUCAAGGGCAGGGUUGUUAAUAGUCAUCGGAGCUGAAGCAUAAUCACUGACGACAACGGAUAAUAAAAAGUUAGCGUCACUGAGUCAGCAGCUCUUGAAUAUUUUUCUUCAAACACCGUCAGUCAGUUUGCUGGUUGCGACGAAAAAGUUUUGCCGUUUCUCUCUAAGGACUGUUCAUUAAAGAAAGUGGACAUCUGUUUACCAAUAGUUUAGAGUUAAAACUAAGCAAAAAAUUGUGAAUUUUUGCUCAGUGUGUAAAAACAUUGUUUACUUCGGCAACACAUUCAAAGAAAACGGAAAAAAAUGAGAAAUUUUGAGCGAUGGGUUGGAUUAGCUUAGCGACUAGCAGAUAAAUUCUGCACAAAUGGUGUUCCAAAAAGUUGUCGUUUCGAGCAUUGGCAUACUAGUACACUUCCGGGACCGCAAUUUUUCAACGCUGAGCAGUAGACAGAUGUGCUGGAUGAUGUAGGGUACAUCAGAACCAAAAAAAUUGGGAAAAAGUUUUUGGUGUGGCAAGCCAAUUGCUCAUGCGGCUUAAACAGUUCUUCGUAUUUCACAACAGGAACAAUCAACGGUAAAAAUUACAUAAAAGAAUGCAUCAAAAACGACUUCUACCCAGCUAUUGAAAACAUACGGAUCCUCCAUUGUUUUGGCCGGAUCUGACAUCCGCUUAUUAGGUUUCUUCUACACUAGAGAUGUUCAAGACGGAAAAAGUCGAUUUUGUCGAAAAAUGGCAAAAUCCACCAAACUUCCCUGAACUGCGUCCUGUGAAAAGAUACUGGACAAUAAUUAAGCGGCAUCUCAAAAAAGAUGGAAGAGAAGCAAGAUCUGUUGAUUGUUUCAAGAAAAUUUGGUCUGCGGCACAGCGAAAGAUUACGGAGAAAGUUGUGCAGAAUCUAAUGGGAGGUAUCAAGAAGAAAGUCCGAGCGUUCUCCAGAAAUGCGAAGUAAAUGUUCAAACUCACGUGAAUUCGGCCACAUGUAUGUUGAUUGUCUUAUAUAAAAAAUAAACUUAUGAAUUUGUUCGAAAAUAAAUAUUUUCUGUUGAAAAACAGGUGUCCACUUUCUUUAAUGAACAGUCCUUAUUGGCAUUUUCGUUGAGUUGCUUGCAUCGCCCUGUUCGAACGAAUGAAUAAUCAGCCUCACGGGAAUGGCUGAUCAGAAAAAAAAAAAUGCAAAAAUGAAAAACGCCUUCAUCUGGAAUCGAACCAAAAACCUUCGGAUUUGAAACACAACAAGCAUACCAACAGAGCUAAUUCAACAGCUCGGAAGGGCCAAGGCUAAAUCGUCAAUAAAAGCUUGACUGGUUCACCUUUCGUCUACAAUCGGGAGGCACGUGACGAAUGCAUGUUCGUUUUUCGUCGUUGCAAAGGGAGACAAAAGGAAAUGACGAAAACUAUAGCUCCCUGUUUUAUUUUCGGUUCAUCGUCGUCGUGGUUUCUUUGUCGGUCGACGAUGAUGAUGCAAGUGACGGAGUUUUAUUUGGUGACGAACUUUUUUAGUUUUUCGUCGUUGGUCAGUGACGAAGCUGAUGGUUACCAACCCUGGUCAAGGGAAUGGUUUUUUUUUUUUAUUGACAACCAGUUAAUAAAGUUCUGACAGCAAGUUAAUAAAGUUUUGGUUGGUUCAGAAAUUCCUCCUAUUCUACGAAUUCUUUCAAAGCAUCUUGCAUGAUUUAACUCUGAAAUUCCUUCAUUUGACAUUUGUUCAGCAAUUUCCACAGAAACUACUUUAAUAAAAUUUCAGCAAUGCCUUCAGAAACUAUUCCAGAGUUUUUGCAGAAAAAAAAUCAAAAGUUCCUUCAAAAAAAUUGUACUGGGAUUACUUUGGAAAUUCUUCCACCAGAAGCUUCUAAUUUCUCCAGAAAUUCCACUAGUGAUUCCUCCAGAAGUUUCACAAAGCGUUGUGUAAGAAAGUUGUGUAUGACUUUCUGCAGAAAUUCCUCCACGGAUUUCUUUCGAAAAUCCUUCAGAGAUAUACCUUAUUUUUCGGGACUUGAGCAUUAUCUCAAACGAUCUUCCAAGGAUUUAUUCCAAAACAUUCUCCGUGGUUUGCUUUAGACAUUGCUCCAAGGAUUUUUUUUUUUAAUUCUGAGUUUCUGUCAGAAAAUCUUCUUUGGAUUUAUUUAGAAAUUCUUCCAGGGUUUCUUUAAAAAAAAAUUUGCAAGGAUUCCUAUAGAAACUGCUCAUCACAAAUUUUUCGAGGGAUUCCUUCAGAAAAUCUCCCAUGGCUUUUAGGCCGUUACAUAUAUUUAUUUUACUUUUUGUCCCACCACUCUUUUGGUUUUGUGGGGUGGGGGUGGAGGUGGGAGGUAAAUAAAAAAGCCUUUAAUCUGAAAUAUAUUGCUGUGUGCAUUCGAAAUGCAAAUAUCAAAUGCGGCAGCACCAAAUGCGGUAAGAUUUUCUAACAAGUAACCCGAUGUCAGUGGGAGCUUUUGAAUCUUAGGUUGGCGGUGGUUUUGACUGUGGUUGCUAUGUUGCCUUUGGUAACACUGUGUUACCGCGUUUGGAGCGCAUUUGGGCACCGUUUGCAUCUUCAACGCACACAGCAAUAUUAAAAACUCAUCAGAUUUGUUAAAGAUUUUUCAGCAAGGCUCGAUAUUUUGAUACAUAUUUUUUAUCUGCCUACUCAAAAUGCUAAAUCCAGCCAAACAUUUUCGGAGGGAGAAAGGAUAGACAAUAAGUCAAAAUGAAAUUUGUAUCAGCCUUAUUAUAAAUUCGACUUAUGAUUUCUUCAGAAAUAUCUCCAGAUUUUCCUCCAAAGAUUUCUUUACAAAUAUCUCAAAGGAUUACUUUGAAAAAACUUCCACAGAUUUUUAGAUAAUUUUUUCAUGGACCCUUGCUGAAAUCCAUCUUAGGAUUCAUUUAAAAAAUCUUUCACAAAUUCCUGAAAAAACCUUCUAGGGAUUCUUGAAGAAAAUCUUUCAGGGACUCCCUUGAAAACUCCCCGUGGAUUCAAUUUAAAAUAUCAUCCUGGAAAUCCUAAGGAAAUUCAGUCAGGAUUUCUUACACAAAAUCUUCUAGGUAUUUCUUUAGACUUGAGAAUGUCCUUCAGAAAUUUCUCCAAGAACUCAUUAAGAAAGUCUUGCACAGAUAGCUUCCAAAAAUGUUUCAUGGGUUAUUUUGGAAAAUAUCCCAAGAACUCUUUUUAAAAAAUCUUGCAUAGAUUGUUCCAGAAAUUCAUCUACGAACUUUUUUUUGUCAUAGAGCUUCCACCAGAAAUUUUUCAAAGCAUUCAUCUAGAAAACGUUUAUGUUCUUUCUCAAAAAUACCCCAUGGAUUUUUUGCCUUUCUCGUACACCAAGGUGUACCGAAAGGCUAUAUGUUCACUUCAAAAAUGAAAUUUUGAUAGAAUCCCCGGAGGGCCAAGUCUUAUAUACCAAUCGACUCAGCUCGACGAGUUGAGAUGAUGUCUGUGUGUAUGUAUGUGUGUGUAUGUAUGUGUGUGCGUGUGUAUGUGUGUAUGUGUACAAAAAUGUCACCUCACUUUUGGAUAGUAAAUAUCAUCCAAUUUCAACGCUUUUGUUUUCAAUCGACGCGGAAUAUUGUCCCAUUGUUUCCUAUUGAAAAUGGUUUGAAUCGGUCCAGCCGUUCCGGAGUUAUGGCCAUUUAGGUGUUCCGGGCCGGUACCCCAGGAAGGGGCCAGAUAUGAAAUUGCAACAAACCCAUGCAUGCGACCCAUCUAACCACGGCAUUUUCGAUUAUCUGACGAACGGUAAGCAGGAAAAUAGUCGCAGAUUAUAUCGGAACCGGUAGUGUUCCGGAACCGGUUCUGGGUGUCCCGUCGGAAGUGGUAAAAUAUAAAAGUGAACCAAACCCAUGCAUGCGACACAUCAAUUUGCUGCUUCUUGUAUAACCUGAUGAACGGUAGACUGGAAAAUAGUCUCGGACCAUAUCUAAACCGGUAGCAUACCGGAACCGGUUCCGGGUGUCCCACUGUAAGUGGCCAAAUGUAAAAGUGAAACAAACCCAUGCAUACGAUACAUCAAAUCAUCGCUUUUUAUGUAACCUGAUGAAUGGUUAUCAGGAAAAUAGUCUCAGACCAUAUCUGAUCCGGUAGUGUUCCGGAACCGGUUCCGGGUAUCCCGCCGGAAGUGACCAAAUAUAAAAGUGAACCAAACCCAUGCAUGCGACACAUAAAAUCGCAGCUUUUUCUAUAACCUGAUGAACGAUAAAUAGGAAAAUAGUCGCAGACUAUAUCUGUACCGGUAGUGUUGCAGAACCGGUUCCGGGUGUCUCACCGGAAGUGGCCAAAUAUAAAAGUGAACCAAACCCAUGCAUGCGACACAUCAAAUCGCCACUUUUUCUAUAACCUGAGGAACGGUAAGCAGGAAAAUAGUCUCAGAUCAUAUCUGAACCGGUAGCAUCCCGGAACCGCCUGGUGUCCCGCCCGAAGUGGCCUAAUUCAUACAUGCGACACAUCAAAUCAUGGCCUUUUCGAUAACUUGUACGAUCAGCAAGAAAAUAAGCUUUGCCCACAUUAGAAACUACUGAUAGUGUUCCGGAAUCGAUUUAAGGUAUCUCGCUGAAAGUAGCCGAAUGUAAAAGAGAACCAAAAAAAUAUUCGCGACACAUCAAAUUGCCUUUAAGGUAUCCUGAUGAACGGUUACCAAGAAAAAAUAUCUCAGAUCAUGCUUGGGAAAACUAGUAGUGUCCCGGAAUCGGUUCCCGGUGUCCCUCUGCCUUUACAGUAGGAUGGAUCAACGUUGUAUGGAAAAAUUAAAAUUUAAGCGCAUCAGCCCGGAACAUUCUCUUAAAUCUUUAUUUGCGUCUAAAAUUACUACGCAAAAUUUUGAUGCGGCUGGAGGGCGAGCUCUGUAAUGUGGUUGAUAUUUGAAUGUGAUAUAGCAUUGGCAAUUCAAAUUACUACAUUACAAAUUCUACAUGAAUUUUGCAACCAAUGAUAAUAAAAUAUGGCAUAAAAUGUGCAGAUAAAUCAUUGUCAAAGUGUUCUGUGGAAAAAGUUUAAUCCUGGCUAGUAAUUGUCAUCUUGGUAUGAAUCAGCCUCCAGUGAAGGUGGUCAAGCAGUCAACUGAAAGGACUGAUACUUUCAGCUCUGCCCAUACGUUGAAUAUAACGUCGGAAUAAGUGCCCCAAUUCGAUGAUGACCUUGAUAAAAUUCUUGAUUUUCAGAAAUUCAGAAAUUCGUAGGUGGUCCAGUCCCAGAUCGCUGUUAUGAGCAUUUCCCCCUUCUCGUCCAUUACCAAAGCACAGAGAUUUGGGGCUGAUCACUGACUCUAAGGCAAGAUUGAUUGCGUCGACGGAAAGAUCAUGAGUACAUAUUCGACGAGAAAGGCACUAUCACCACUAGGUGGAUAAAUCUGGGUUUUUUAGAAACAUAUUCACGGAUACUUUAAGAACCAGAAAUUCAGCAGCCAUUCAAGGAAAUUGUAGCAGAUUAUUAAGGAAAUUCCUCAGAUUUCUUCAUGUUCCUUUUUAGAUAUUCCAUCAAGACAUUUUUCUUCUAGAAAUUGUGUGUCUAGAAGUAUUUUUUUUAAAGAAAGGCUUAGAAAAUUCUCCAAGGAUUGCGUCAGAAAUUUUUCAACAGAUUCUUUCAGGGAUUCUUAUAAGGAUUGUUACGGGAAGGCUGGAAAGCAUUCUAUCAGAGAUUCUUAUAGAAAUUCACACAGAAAUAUCACUAGAAGUUCCACCCGGGUAUUCCUCUCUGUAUUUUCUUAGAUGUUCCUCCAACAUUUCAUCCUAGCGUACUUCUAGAAAUUUCUCUAUCAUGAUAAAUUCUUCAACAAAUCUUAUUUAGGAUAAUGAAAUUUAGGAUAUUCUUUUUUUAGAAAAGAUUCUUAACAUUCAGCACAAUAAGUGUAAACUCAUAAUAUGAGUUUCUAACCACCCUCUUUGAAUUUCUGUAGAAAUUUUAGCAAUAAAUAAGCAAUAAAUUUCAUGAAAAAAAUGCAUGAAUUCUACCAAGAAACCGUUCAAUAAUUAACUAAAACUAACAGCAAUUGUAUUGUGAUGGAACUCGGAACUUUUUGCUUAUUUUUUCUGAUAAUUUUGUCAGAGUAUUCAACAAAAAAAGCUUGGAUUCGACAGGAAUCAUCUUGAAACUUAGGAAUAACGUAAUUCUGAAAAUUUUCCAUAAUGAAUCAAGAACAUCCUGCAGGUUUUUAAAACGUUGCUUGAAACCUUUCUUGAUUAACAUUCCAUCCAAAGAGUUUUUUCCAAAGCUUCUUCCAGAUAAUUCGAAAAGAAUGAAAGGUAUCAUGAAAAUAUUCAAGGUUGUAUCUGUACAAAUUGCUUUCUAACGACAAACACUGCCUCAUAAAACCAACCAAUUUCGUAGACAUUACUCUACAUUUGACUAUGAAAUUCUUCUCCUAAAUAUUUCUCCUAAAUUUGCAGUAGACGUUUUUCGUAAAAUCUCUCAAAAACAUCUUUCAUAACUACCGGUACAAUCACAAAAACUCACGAAACAAUGACUUUUGUCUAUUUCGGCAACCCAGUACAAUCCGGAAUAUCUGCGGAACGCUUUCGGGUAAUGUAUGGCCGCUUAAAUGUAAUAAGCUUGCACAAAUUUAUGAUCGAUUGAGGGGAACCCAAAAAAUCGGAUGAACAUUGACGAAAUGCCAACAUUUUGAAAAUAAGCUGUCUGGGGUCGGGGCCGUAAAUAUUACCACAUGAGAAGGUGAACUUGCAUAUAGUAUUGUAAAUUGUUCUACGCCCUCUGAUUAAAUUGGACCUCACAGGUUGACCGAUAGAAACACCCACUGGUCAAGUGCAAGAUCUUGUCUGCAGAUCAGAUCCGGACACGUUUUAUAAUUGCAGAUGUCGAUCUCGUUUCAUUGCUAUCUUGUACACUUUUAGUUUUAACAUAAACUGUUCGCCACAUAUAUCGACAUUUAUGAAACGAACAAGUUUCGAACCGGUUCCGCGCACUGACUGCUGUUGGCAUAACCCCAACCACAUCCCAGCACAUUCGAUCGACUCAGUCAGUGAGUCAGUGGGUAACAAUCGAAACUUCGUCAACACAGCAAAAAAUUGCAAAUCACUCCUGAUUAAGUCUUAACGAGGCACACCAAACAAACAAAAAACAUAGCUCGCGGACGUAAAUCAUUCAAAUUUAAUGUGUUUCGGUGACUGUGAUGGAAUGUUCUUUACUUUGACUGAUCGCACACCCUCAACUCGACGUCGCGUCGAUCCCCUCAGGCCGACGGUGUCCUUGAGACGCGACGCACCUCCACUCGACGCGACCUUUGCAAAGGAAUGUGCCAAACUAACUCCUCCUCGAGUUCCUCGAGGGUAAACCUACCCAGAUUGAGAUAAUCCAAUCGCGACGUCGACGACGGUCGCCAACUAAUCCCCACAAUGGGUUCUGGAUCCAUAUUU